UAGCUCAGACGGUAAAGCGCCUGUCUACAAGGCAGAAGACCCAGGUUCAAUCCCUGG
rnacentral:tRNA from 1 species